CAGCAGCCGCGGGAAUACAGAGGGUGCGAGCGUUAAUCGGAUUUACUGGGCGUAAAGCGUGCGUAGGCGGCUAAUUGAGUCGGAUGUGAAAUCCCCGAGCUUAACUUGGGAAUUGCAUUCGAUACUGGGAAGCUAGAGUAUGGGAGAGGAUGGUAGAAUUCCAGGUGUAGCGGUGAAAUGCGUAGAGAUCUGGAGGAAUACCGAUGGCGAAGGCAGCCAUCUGGCCUAAUACUGACGCUGAGGUACGAAAGCAUGGGGAGCAAACAGGAUUAGAUACCCCGGUAGUCCCUGUCUCUUAUAC
rnacentral:rRNA from 1 species